UACGUAGGGUGCGAGCGUUGUCCGGAAUUAUUGGGCGUAAAGGGCUCGUAGGCGGUUUGUCGCGUCGGGAGUGAAAUCCACUGGCUUAACUGGUGGCUUGCUUUCGAUACGGGCAGACUGGAGGUAUGCAGGGGGAGAACGGAAUUCCUGGUGUAGCGGUGAAAUGCGCAGAUAUCAGGAGGAACACCGGUGGCGAAGGCGGUUCUCUGGGCAUGUCCUGACGCUGAGGAGCGAAAAGUGUGGGGGAGCGAACAGG
rnacentral:rRNA from 1 species